GUAUUUGAUAUGAAUUGCAGCUUGAUACCUCCACGUGUUCCAGAGAAAAAGGGUCUUGACAGACAGACGAACAACAAAUCCUAUGAGGGUUCCGUUUCUUCUUUUGGAGAUUGUGCAUAGAAACAAGUAUAUGAAGAGCCAUUUGCGCGUAGAUCGCCCAGUUUAUAGAACACAAUUCGUUGAGUGAAAAGUAGAAAUAUAAAAUUCGGGUAAAAUCUACAAAAUUUGGUGACGCUUUUAAGAAAUAUGUUAUGCUUAAAAAUAUGUAAAGAAAGAGAAUGUAAAGAAAACAUCACCAGAAGCGAUAGAGAGAGAAUGCGUCACCAAUCAAAAUCAAUGAAACCUGUGUACUUCGAGAAAAAUUCCAAGAUUUAUAUAUUUUUAUUUGUCACGAACAGAAUGGUGAAUGAGACUGCAAUUUUUUUUCCAAAAAAGACAAUGAGUCAUAUUUCAAACUAUCGAAGCGAUAUGAAAUAGUGGAAAGCGAUAAUUUUUUUAAAAAUAAAAACAAACAAAAAAAGCAUCAACUGUUUUAUUCUGUAUCACAAUAGAUUUUAUAGUAAAAUUGAAUAGCAAUAAGAUUAACGUUAAGUUUCAAUUUCAUUUCGAUCAGCACCAAAAUUAAAUUAUUACGGCAAUACAGAUAUUUCAUUAACGUUGUACAGUAAAAAAGAAUUCCCUGUCUGUUCUAAUCCAACGCUAUCAAGAGAAUACGGUAGUGCAAACGUCCGUUUGACAGUCAAGCGUAAAAUCACGGCUUAUCUCAACUCGCCAGAUCUUCUUCGGGCUAAUUAAACCCUCGAGCAUUCGAAACGUUCUGCCAGUUCGGUGUCACUUAAUUCUUAAAGGUGUAUUUUGGAUACAAACUGAAGCUGAUUUCACACUUUAUGUAAAUUAAAUUCCUGCAAAAAAUACCGAUUAUAAUUUGGAACUGA